rnacentral:rRNA from 1 species
GACGUAGGGCGCGAGCGUUGUCCGGAUUUAUUGGGCGUAAAGAGCUCGUAGGUGGUUUGUCGCGUUGUUCGUGAAAACCGGGGGCUUAACCCUCGGCGUGCGGGCGAUACGGGCAGACUUGAGUACUGCAGGGGAGACUGGAAUUCCUGGUGUAGCGGUGGAAUGCGCAGAUAUCAGGAGGAACACCGGUGGCGAAAGCGGCUUCCUGGUCCAGCAUCGACGUUCAGGCACGAAAGCGUGGGGAGCAAACAGG